rnacentral:sRNA from 1 species
UUUAAUGUUUACAAUUGUAUAAUUAUAUUUUGAUUAUUAAUUCUAGGGUUUCACGCAUAGUAUAUCAUCCCAUAAUAAUAUCGAUCCAGACAUGUUCUAUAUUUUAGGGUCCAAAAUGUUUAAAUAAUUACAAAAUAAGGUCUAAAUUUUAAAUAUUUAAAAUUUAAGUAAACAAAUUGGAACUUAAAACCGGGUCCAUUAAUUUAUUGGACCGGCCUGACCUUGUUAGUAGCCAAUAUCGUUAUAAAUAUGUAUUAUAUAAACAUUUAUAGGGCCCGCAUUUAUAUAAGCAAUGCGAUCCCUUACUUAUCCAUUUUUGACAUUACUUUUGAGACAGAUUGCAAGGAGUUGACACAGCUUUUGGACACUCCUGAUGAGUGGCCCGCAUUUUCUUCGGAGUUAGAAGAUUUUAAUGCUUUAAAGUCUAGAUUUCCUCGUUUUUCUUUAUCUUUUAUUCCACGUUUAAACAAUGUCCGUGCUGAUUAUUUUGCUAAGAAGGCAAGAGCACGAGGUUCUAUUUUUUCUCAUGUAAGCUCAUCAGGAUCCUAACUGAAAAAACGAUCCAUCAGAACAACAGCCCACAUGACUUACCCAAAGACUAAUCAUGCCUAAAGCCCAUCAGAUUUUAUGCCCAUUUACAACAAAUAAAAAUAGAAACUUGUUAAUAUUUUCGGUUGCCAAGGAUCGAACCAACCACCUUCUACCUUUAAUAGCAUAGAAAACAAUUAGACUUCAAGACGUUCUUUAAAAUUUGAUGCCCUCUAAAAUACAUAUAAAUCUUUUUACCUAAAGCAUCUAUUUGGUGGGCUUUAGGUCUGGGUCAAGCUUGACGGCCUAUCAGGCCAAGGGCUCGGCCCAAAUAAAGAAGGCUCAGCCCAUAAAACUUAAGAGAGAAUUCCUCCUUAACUCUUUGAUCUCUUACUUUCUGGUUUUUCGUUAUGUACUUUCGGUCUUUUGUUCUGUACUUUUGGUUUUAUGUUUUAUUAAUUACUAUUCUCAUUCAUCGUUGAUAAAAAAGCGGCCCCAUUCUCCCAAAAAAUCCCUUAGUUACUUAUUAUUACAACUUCAUUACAAAAAAUUGGCGUCCACCAUGGGGCUAGGAAGAGUUUUCUCCUUUAUUGAAAAUCAUAUACGAUAUUGCCAGUAAUCCUAGAAAGCCACGACGAGAUGACGGAAACCUCGAACAAACAAGUAGAUGAGUUCAGUACACCUUGUGCCGCACCACCAGCUCGGCCAACGACGCCACCUCCUGUCGUCACUCUUGACACAGUUCCCGCCGAGCUCGAAGAAACGACACCACGAGGAACCAGUCUCGACGAAGUCAUUCGAUCUUUCCUCAACCGACUCGACCUACAUGAUGUAAGAACUGCCGAACACAUCAACGCAAUCGUCGCUGCCCAGGAGGCCUCCCAGAAUCAGAUCAAGUAACUAUAGUCCUCUACAGCACGAGUCGUUCGACAGCUCAUCGAUAACAAAAAAAAUUUACCGGAACAAACUCCUAUCACGGAAUGACCAGUGAAUCGACAAAAUAGGCCGGCCUCCAUCGUCAUUGGAUCCAUUGACAAGCACAUCCGUGAAAUAUGCCGAACUGCAAAAAUCGUCCGAAAAUACUAAACACGCUGUAUAGAAAAUGAUGAUAUAAGUGGGUGUGAUCGGGAACUCCAACAACUAUGAACCACGUUGAAAGAUAUGUCAUCCAAGAUGCAUUGUACCGUCAGCUCGACACUAGAGUUAGACAAGAUAUUCGAGGAGACACAACACACUCCAUUCACUUCACGCAUCUCCAUUGUUCGCAUUUGUCACAUCAGCAAAAUCAAGCUGGCUAACUAUGAAGGGCUCAUUGACCCAAGGCCAUUCUUGACGUCAGUAUGCAUCGUGAUCGGUUGCGCACACUUCUCCAAAAAGGAGCGAGAUGCCGGAAGCUGACAACUUUUUGUAGAACAUCUAAGUGGCGCAGCGCUCACUUGGUUCUCAUGACUCGAGGUCAAUUCGAUCGACAACUUCCACAAACUCCCUACAAAUUUUUUUAAAGAAUUACGGAGUAUUCAUGGAGAAAGGUGCCUCUAACGCCGACUUUUGGGCAACGGCCAAAACUACUAAAUAAUCACUCCAAAGUUUCAACGGGAGAUUCAAAGAAUAGAUCAACGUACACGAGUCUCAUAGCACUACGACGCUAAUUACGUAAGGGAAGAUAAGGGAAAGAAGAGAUCAAUGUACUACAUUGGAGUCUCGACACCACUUUCUAAUUAAAAUUAUAGUUUGGUUUCUUUCUAUUCUCUUUUUUCUUUUCUUUUUCUAAAACUGUCGGUUUCUAAAUUAUUUAUGCUGCU